CUUGGAAGAAGGGCGAAUACUCCGCCUCAUCGGCGGAGAGGAAAGUCCAGGCCGUAGGAAAGACGGUGCCCCGGUUAAGAUCCGGGGACCCCGCCCUAGGCGGGGAUAGUAAGAGCCACAGAGACGAGCCCAGUUUUUUCUUUACCGAAGGGGCUGGGGUGAAACGAGAGCAUAAGCUCUAUCCUGCCACUGGCGGGAUGGCAAUCCUCCCGACGGCAACCUCCGAGAUAUUUCAAUCACUCCUUUUUUACAUAUAUCGCGAGGGCAAAGAGAGAUUUUCGCCAAGAACAGAACCUGGCUUACUCUCUUCCAAGAGCA
rnacentral:RNase_P_RNA from 1 species